rnacentral:rRNA from 1 species
CAGUAGCCGCGGUAAUACGAAGGGGGCUAGCGUUGCUCGGAAUGACUGGGCGUAAAGGGCGCGUAGGCGGUUCGUACAGUUGGAUGUGAAAUUCCUGGGCUCAACCUGGGGGCUGCGUUUGAUACUUGAUUGCUAGAGUGGGGAAGAGGGUCGUGGAAUUCCCAGUGUAGAGGUGAAAUUCGUAGAUAUUGGGAAGAACACCGGUGGCGAAGGCGGCGACCUGGUCCUUUACUGACGCUGAGGCGCGAAAGCGUGGGGAGCAAACAGGAUUAGAUACCCCCGUAGUCCCUGUCUCUUAUAC